rnacentral:lncRNA from 1 species
GUGAUAUUGUGCCCCAGAAUGGCGAUGUUGUGCCCCAAAAUGGCAAUAUUUACCCCAAAAUGGCUCCCCGAGCCCCAAAACAGUGAUAUUGUGCCCCAGAAUGGCGAUGUUGUGCCCCAAAAUGGCGACAUUGUGCCCCAAAAUGGCGGUUAUUUACCCCAAAAUGGCUCCCCGAGCCCCAAAACGGUGACACUGUGCCCCAAAAUGGCGGUUAUUUACCCCAAAAUGGCCCCCACGAGCCCCAAAAUGGUGAUAUUGUGCCCCAACACGGCGAUAUUGUGCCCCAAAAUGGCAGUUAUUUACCCCAAAACGGCUCCCCGAGCCCCAAAAUAGCGGUAUUUACCCCAAAACGACGUCCCCCAAGCGACGUCGGGAACCUCGGAAAGCACCGAAACGCCCCAAAUCCCCCCAAAAAACCCGACUCGAGGCCCCCGAAGCGCCCCGAAAUCCCCCUAAAAAAGCCUCGAAACCACCCAAAAGGCCCCGAAACGCGUCCGUUUUACCCAAAAACGCGGUUUUUGGCCCCAAAACUCACCUCGUCGGCGUCGAUCAGGGCGCGCAGGGCCGUCAGGAUGUCGGGGAGCAGCGACCGCAGCAGCUCCUGGGGGGGGGGGGUCGGGGGGGGGCAUUUUGGGGCAAAAAAAACACUUUUUGGUUAAAUACCAAACUAAGCGUUUCGGGGGAUUCAGGAGAUCCCGCGGGAAUCCUCGAAACCGGCGUUUUUGGGCCAAAAAACCGCUAUUUUGGGGCGCCUCGAAACCGCUUUUUUUUUUUAAACGUUGCCAAAAACGCUGAUUUUACACCAAAAAUUAUGAGUGGAAACCCCAAAAACCCCGAAUUCGGGUUAUUUUGAGCCCCGCCACUCAGAAAAACUCGAAGCCGUUUUCAGGGGAACCCUCGGAGGCGCCUUUUUGGGGCAAAAAGCCGGCUUUUGUAACGCGACGAGCGGCCUCGAAACCGCUGUUGCCCCCAGGACAACUUUGGGGCUAAAAAAGGCCGGUUUGGGAAACCCGGAACCUGCUCUUUUGGGGUAAGGGGGGGGGGGGUCCCGAAACCCCCUUAAUUUUAUAGGGGGGGGCCCCGAAACCUCCAUAAUUUUAUAGGGGGGGGUCCCCAAACCCCCAUAAUUUUAUAGGGGGGGCCCCGAAACCCCCAAAAUUUUAUAGGGGGGGCCCUGAAACCCCCCUAAUUUUAUAGGGGGGCCCCCAAAACCUCCAUAAUUUUAUGGGGGGGGGCCCGACACCCCCAAAACCUUAUGGGGGGGCCCCAAAACCCCUCUAAUUUUAAAGGGGGGGCCCCAAACACCCAUAAUUUUAUGGGGGGGGGGCCCAAA